rnacentral:rRNA from 1 species
AUGCUGAGGCUGACCGGCACCGUGGCCACGCUCGCGAGCUCCCCGUCGAAGCUGCUCGCGGCGCUGGACGCGUACGCCGCCGUCUCGGAGGCCUGCCCCGGCCUCGCGAGGACCUUCUCCUGGGCCCCCUCCCACCCGGUCCCGGCCGCGGCCGACGCCGCGCUGGCCGACCUGCUGGACGCGUCCCGGCGCUGCGUGCGCGACCUCAGGGGCUUCAUACGCGCGCCGCAGUACCCGUGGCGGAUGCCGCAGGGCGGCGAGGAGCACCCGAGCGUCGGGUUCUGGAUGGGCUACCUGCGCUGCAUGCUGCGUAACCGCGUGCCCCUCUACUUCGUCCUCGCCGGCGGCGACCAGGACGAGGGCGGCCUGGUCAUGGAGCUGAUCGCGUGCCUGGAGGCGGCGCUCGAGGACAAGUCCGCCGCGCUCGCCUUCCCGGGGCUGAGACAGCUGUUCAUGCUCAACAACACGAGCGCCAUCGUGCGCUGCGCCGCGCGCGCCGACGCCAUCGGCAUGCUCCUGUCGCCUGGCUGGGCCGGCGCCCGCGAGGAGCGCAUGGAGGGCUACAUCAGAGAUUACCUGCGAGUCUCCUGGGCGCCCGUGGUGUCGCGCCUUGGCGGGAAGCCCGGAGCCAUGAACGCUCUGCGGCGACGGCACCCGCUGAGCGCGUUCCACUCGGCGUUCCAGAACGCGUCCAGCAUGCAGAGAGGCUGGAAGGUGCCCAGCCCCGUGCUCAGGGGCGACCUCCGGAUGGCCGUGUCCGAGACCGUCGUGCCGGCGUACCGCCGGGACAGCCACCCCGAAGGUUGA